CUGACGACCAGGAGCCGAAGGAGGAGGAAGAAAAGGAGGAGGAGAACUGAUCUGUUAAAAGAAAAGGAAAAUACAUGAGGCAAGACUUAGGAGCGUCAAGAAGGAUUAGCUGAUGAAAACUUGGUGAAGGAGAGGAAGGAGGGAAGGGCGGCUGCAUCUUUACUGUGUCCUUCUGGAUUGAAAUGGCUGAGGACUGAUGCCUGACGAACUGUGGACGGUUCUGGUGCUAAACAGUACUAAGGCACGUGAGUGUUGACC